rnacentral:rRNA from 1 species
GACGAACGCUGGCGGCGUGCUUAACACAUGCAAGUCGAACGAAGUGGCGAACGGGUGAGUAACGCGUAAUCCACCUGCCCUUCAGAGGGGGACAACAUUUGGAAACGACUGCUAAUCCCGCAUACUGACGGAGGGGUUUGCGUCGGAUUAGCGAGUUGGCGGGGUAACGGCCCACCAAGGCGAUGAUCAGUAGCCGGUCGGAGAGGAUGAACGGCCACAUUGGGCCUGAGACACGGCCCAGACUCCUACGGGAGGCAGCAGGGGGGAAUCUUCCGCAAUGGACGAAAGUCUGACGGAGCAACGCCGCGUGAGUGAUGACGGCCUUCGGGUUGUAAAGCUCUGUUAAUCGGGACGCGGUACCGGAAUAGAAAGCCACGGCUAACUACGUGCCAGCAGCCGCGGUAAUUC